rnacentral:rRNA from 1 species
UAGCGUAUAUUAAAGUUGUUGUGGUUAAAAAGCUCGUAGUUGGAUUUCGGCAGACAUAGGUUGGUUUGAAUCGCUUCAACACUGACUUCUUUGUCUGUGUGUUUUGCCAGAAUUCAGCUGGUGAUCUUUACCGAUUGUCCGUUGGAGCUGGCAGGUUUACUUUGAAAAAAUUAGAGUGCUCAAAGCAAGCUUGAUUGCUUGAAUAUUCGUGCAUGGAAUAAUAGAAUAGGAAGUCGUUUCUAUUUUGUUGGUUUUCGGAGAUUGACUUAAUGAUUAAUAGGGAUAGUCGGGGGCAUUUGUAUUCAAACGAC